rnacentral:rRNA from 1 species
AGGCUCAGGACGAACGCUGGCGGCGUGCUUAACACAUGCAAGUCGAGCGGUAAGGCCUUUCGGGGUACACGAGCGGCGAACGGGUGAGUAACACGUGGGUGAUCUGCCCUGCACUUCGGGAUAAGCCUGGGAAACUGGGUCUAAUACCGGAUAUGACCUCCUAUCGCAUGGUGGGUGGUGGAAAGAUUUAUCGGUGCAGGAUGGGCCCGCGGCCUAUCAGCUUGUUGGUGGGGUAAUGGCCUACCAAGGCGACGACGGGUAGCCGACCUGAGAGGGUGACCGGCCACACUGGGACUGAGACACGGCCCAGACUCCUACGGGAGGCAGCAGUGGGGAAUAUUGCACAAUGGGCGAAAGCCUGAUGCAGCGACGCCGCGUGAGGGAUGACGGCCUUCGGGUUGUAAACCUCUUUCAGCAGGGACGAAGCGCAAGUGACGGUACCUGCAGAAGAAGCACCGGCUAACUACGUGCCAGCAGCCGCGGUAAUACGUAGGGUGCAAGCGUUGUCCGGAAUUACUGGGCGUAAAGAGUUCGUAGGCGGUUUGUCGCGUCGUUUGUGAAAACCAGCAGCUCAACUGCUGGCUUGCAGGCGAUACGGGCAGACUUGAGUACUGCAGGGGAGACUGGAAUUCCUGGUGUAGCGGUGAAAUGCGCAGAUAUCAGGAGGAACACCGGUGGCGAAGGCGGGUCUCUGGGCAGUA